GAUGAAGAACGUAGCGAAAUGCAAUAAGUAGUGUGAAUUGCAGAAUUCAGUGAAUCAUCGAAUCUUUGAACGCACAUUGCGCCCCUUGGUAUUCCAUGGGGCAUGCCUGUUCGAGCGUCAUUUGUACCUUCAAGCUCUGCUUGGUGUUGGGUGUUUGUCUCGCCUCUGCGUGUAGACUCGCCUCAAAACUAUUGGCAGCCGGCGUAUUGAUUUCGGAGCGCAGUACAUCUCGCGCUUUGCACUCAUAACGACGACGUCCAAAAGUACAUUUUUACACUCUUGACCUCGGAUCAGGUAGGGAUACCCGCUGAACUUAAGCAUAUCAAUAAGCGGAGGA
rnacentral:misc_RNA from 1 species